CCUACGGGAGGCUGCAGUGGGGAAUAUUGGACAAUGGGCGAAAGCCUGAUCCAGCCAUGCCGCGUGUGUGAAGAAGGCCUUCGGGUUGUAAAGCACUUUCAGUGGGGAAGAAAGCCUUGGGGCUAAUACCCUCGAGGAAGGACAUCACCCACAGAAGAAGCACCGGCUAACUCCGUGCCAGCAGCCGCGGUAAUACGGAGGGUGCGAGCGUUAAUCGGAAUUACUGGGCGUAAAGCGCGCGUAGGCGGUCUGAUAAGCCGGUUGUGAAAGCCCCGGGCUCAACCUGGGAACGGCAUCCGGAACUGUCAGGCUAGAGUGCAGGAGAGGAAGGUAGAAUUCCCGGUGUAGCGGUGAAAUGCGUAGAGAUCGGGAGGAAUACCAGUGGCGAAGGCGGCCUUCUGGACUGACACUGACGCUGAGGUGCGAAAGCGUGGGUAGCAAACAGGAUUAAUACCCCAGUAGUC
rnacentral:rRNA from 1 species